rnacentral:rRNA from 1 species
UACGGGGGGUGCAAGCGUUGUUCGGAAUCAUUGGGCGUAAAGAGCGUGUAGGCGGCUGGACAAGUCAGAUGUGAAAUCCCUGGGCUUAACCCAGGAAGUGCAUUUGAAACUGUCUAGCUGGAGUAAGGGAGAGGAAAGUGGAAUUCCUGGUGUAGAGGUGAAAUUCGUAGAUAUCAGGAGGAACACCGGUGGCGAAGGCGACUUUCUGGCCCUAUACUGACGCUGAGACGCGAAAGCGUGGGUAGCAAACAGGAUUAGAAACCCCAGUAGUCC